GCCGAGGGAGAAGAGAAAGAGAAGGGAGAAUAGGGCGAGAGUGGGAAGCGCGAAAGGAGAGUUGAAUAAUACUGGGGAGGAAGCGAGGACGGAGAUGUGUAGGCGGGGAUGGGAUGGAGCAACAGGGCCGGCGCCCAGGAUUUUGCUGCCUGAGAAAAACAAAAUGGCGCCCCUCCUGUUCCGUAUCCGAGAGCCGUUUGGCAGUCAGGUCUUUUUUUUUCCCCCAUGCUGAUGAUGGGAGAGCAUUCACAGCUUAGGGAGGCAUAGGGGAACCCCCUCUGGAAUGGGCCUCACUCCUCUGACGGUUUGCUUUUGUCCCCCUGCGGUAGGGCCUGCCUUAAGAGCCACUGUACGUACCAGCCCCCGAAGAAAGAAGGGUGGCUGAAGUGAAGAAGAGGGAGAAAUUGCCUCUGGAAGUUGAGGGUGAAUAAAAAAUAGAGGUAGAGAAGAAAAUGGCACCAGGACAACAAUUCGGAAGAAGAGACAGAAGAAGAGCGAGGGCCAGUAGUUCAAGCCAGCUUGAUAGAGGUAAGGUCGCAGCUGGGCAAUCCGCCAAAGACAAUUUGAUGUGUCUGUCUGGAAGUGCAUAGGAUUUUCCUACUGUUUGGAGUGCAGCUACCAUGAAGGAGAAUCUGUCAUCAUUCAGUUGACCCGGGUUUCAUUUAAAGGAGUGGCUCUGCAAAAUCUACAGCCUGAUAUUGAAGAUCAGUCCCACAGAAUCUUUAAAGAAAACUUAAUGCCCAGAUACUUUCAUCGAGUGACAAAUUGUGCUGGAGUCUGUCAGCUGAAACCGUGCCGUGCUGACUCGAAAAGCAAGGACAGCAUUGACGAAAGCCACGCAGAAAAAUAAAAUAAGAGAGAGAGGAUGUCUGUGAUCAGCGCUCUGCCGUUUCUCAAACCCAUUCACUUCAGACCUCCACGGAGUCUUCCUGGCCGUCAACGCCGGCAUACUCUUCCUGCCAGUGAAUUCCGGUGCCUCACCCCUGAGGAUGCCAUUAGUGUAUUUGAAAUUGAGAGAGAAGCAUUUAUUUCUGUGUCGGGAGACUGCCCCCUCCAUUUGGAUGAGAUUCGCCACUUUCUCAACCUGUGUCCUGAACUGUCUCUUGGUUGGUUUGAAGAAGGCCGACUAGUUGCUUUCAUUAUUGGCUCUCUCUGGGAUCAGGAAAGACUCAGCCAGGAUGCUUUGACCUUGCACAAACCCCAGGGCACCACAGUCCACAUCCAUGUUCUGGCAGUACAUCGCACUUUCCGCCAGCAAGGCAAGGGUUCCAUCUUGAUGUGGCGCUACCUACAGUAUCUGUGUUGCCUGCCGUAUGUGCGUCGAGCCACUUUGAUGUGCGAAGAUUUCCUUGUCCCUUUUUAUUCCAAGUGUGGCUUCAAGGCAGUGGGCCCCUGUGAGAUCACUGUGGGCUCACUGAAUUUCAUAGAGAUGAUCUAUGCUGUGCGCGGCCAUGCCUUCAUGCGCAGGAACAGUGGCUGCUGAAGUCAUGCCUCCCUUUCCCAUUCAAUUCUAGCUGCUGAUCUGGUUGGCUGGAAAGCACAACUUAAGAGUGAUUCCCAAGCCUUCAGAUGGGACCCCACUAAUGAAUCAGGGAAUUCUGUGGGUGGGCUGCCACAGUUCGGCCUUGCACAUCACUGAUGGGUCAAACAAGGAUGCCCAAAGAGGUUUAAUGGAUGGAUCCCAGUUUUAAGAAGUUUGGGAACCACUGCUACAUGCAGAUUGGGUUAUCAACCCCCCUGAUCACAUGCUGUCAGUUCCUCCUGUCAUCAUUGCAGCCAUUUUUGAAAAGGAGCAAAACUCUUAAGGCCUAUCAUUCCCUUUUUAUAUCUGCCUUUAAAAGUGGUACUUAAAACUUGGUUCAAUUUCCUUCUUGUGUCUUAGGUGACUGUCCUGCACCACUGUGUAGAUUGGACUAUAAAAGGCAACCAUCCACCUAGUCUGUUUCUCAUCACUUCAGUUUAACUGGAAAGGUGGUAAGAACAUGGCAGGUUGGAGCCAUAGCUGUAAAACUUAGCUGUUUCAUGCAGGAGGAGCCAAGUGGCUUCCUGUAGAUGAUGCACUGUGGAAUCUUCAGGUCAGAACUGGUUAACUUUUGCAAACUUCAUGCACAGUGCUGUUUCACAUUAAAGGAGGGCCUUAACUACACCUUUGCUUAUAUGGCUUAGGUACUAGCAUCCUUGUAAACUGCAUAUGCACUCAACCAAAAAUGAUAGCAAACUGUGUUAAAAGUCAAACUCCUGCAUCCAUAAUUAUGCAAACAUGCAAUUAGGAAUGGAGAGUUUGACUUCUGUCAUGCAAUUUUCUUCAGCAUUCACCUUUGUAGUAAAAUGUGGCCAAGGUGUUGCUUCCUUAUAGGCCAUCCCUUGAAAUUAAAAGGGAAUUUAGGAAAAUAAUUGCUGGAGAAUUAGAACACUGUAAUUAGGCCUUCCAUUGCUUGGAAUUGCUAUUUGCCUUGGGAAAGGAAAAUGCUCUCAUGAAAAGACUCUCUUUGCAGAGAAGCAUUCUCCAUUACUUCUCAUGCUGGUGGCUGUCUUGUGCUAAACUGCAUGGAAUCUGUGCUUGUAUGUUCUGUAAAUAUAAUGUGCCCUCUGUAGCUAUAUGUCACAAGGGGCUACUUUCUCAGCUGAGUUCCUGCCAGCUAAAAGCAGGUCCCUGUUUACAAAGAGGUCACCUGGGCUUGCUUUCUUCUAAUGUAUUUUGUUUCUGCCCUAAUCUGACAGCUCCCCAACCGCAGCCCAAAUGUUUUAGGGCCUUUCUAUUCCUCAGAUGCAGUAGAAAUGACAGAGUACUGUAUAGUGCCUGGCUGUCUUUCCUCCUAGGAAGUUGGAGGAUGGAAGAGGAAUCCAUUACAUUUAGAGUACUAUGUGUGGAUUGUAUUCCUUGUAGCAUGCAAAUUUGUGUGACUAGGAAUGUGAUACCCUGCUAAUGAGAAUUCUGCCAUUGUCCUGGUACAAAUUACUCUUAGAAUUCUGGUGUUGCUUGCAUAAUUUGUAAACCACCCAGAGUGCUUUAGCCCUACGGGGUGGUAUAUAAGUUGAAACAACAGCAACAUUAUUCGUUAUUAAAUGGCUAUUUCUAACCCAGUUAUGAUAACAUGAAGGUAGGAGCAUUCUCCAGUGCUUGUUGGCAUACUUGCCAUAAUGAGUGGAGGUAAAAGCUUCAGAAGAAAGUUGGCCAUAUGUGACAGCUUGCUAGCUAAUAAGAGCAUCUUCUUCAUGCCCAGAGUAGAUGCCUGUUUCUUUUAGCAUCUGGGACUGGUGUAAUCUUAUGCAAAUCUACUGAGAAGAAAGCCCCACUGAUUUUAGUGGAGCUUUACUCCAUGGAAGGAUUGCAGUCCUAAUGUUCAGGCAAAUACGUAUGAUACCUGCUAGUGUACAUUUCUUUGCCCACUCACAAUUGUUGUCUGUUGUUUUCCACUUGCUAAUUAUCUGUAAAUUUAUCAAAUAAAUGUUUUUUGAAUGA